GCCAAAGGCGAGUGCAAUAACCGAUAUACCACCAGGGA
rnacentral:tRNA from 1 species